rnacentral:rRNA from 1 species
UGCGUAGGCGGAUCAAUAAGUCAGUGGUGAAAUCUCGCGGCUCAACCGGGAAACUGCCAUUGAUACUGUUGAUCUUGAGUUCGGUUGAGGUAGGCGGAAUGUGUAAUGUAGCGGUGAAAUGCUUAGAUAUUACACAGAACACCAAUUGCGUAGGCAGCUUACUAGACCGACACUGACGCUGAGGCACGAAAGCGUGGGGAGCGAACAGGAUUAGAUACCCUGGUAGUC